GACGAAAGAGGGAGGAGGGAGGAACACAUGCAAGUCGAACGGAAAGGCCCUGCUUUUGUGGGGUGCUCGAGUGGCGAACGGGUGAGUAACACGUGAGUAACCUGCCCUUGACUUUGGGAUAACUUCAGGAAACUGGGGCUAAUACCGGAUAGGAGCUCCUGCUGCAUGGUGGGGGUUGGAAAGUUUCGGCGGUUGGGGAUGGACUCGCGGCUUAUCAGCUUGUUGGUGGGGUAGUGGCUUACCAAGGCUUUGACGGGUAGCCGGCCUGAGAGGGUGACCGGCCACAUUGGGACUGAGAUACGGCCCAGACUCCUACGGGAGGCAGCAGUGGGGAAUAUUGCACAAUGGGCGGAAGCCUGAUGCAGCAACGCCGCGUGCGGGAUGACGGCCUUCGGGUUGUAAACCGCUUUCGCCUGUGACGAAGCGUGAGUGACGGUAAUGGGUAAAGAAGCAUCGGCUCCCUACGUC
rnacentral:rRNA from 1 species